rnacentral:tRNA from 1 species
GGCGCAUUCGUCUAGGGGUCCAGGACGCCGGCCUCUCACGCCGGUAACACGGGUUCGAAUCCCGUAUGCGCUACCA